UCCUCAGUAGCUCAGUGGUAGAGCGGUCGGCUGUUAACAGACUAGUCGUAGGUUCGAAUCCUACCUAGGGAG
rnacentral:tRNA from 1 species